ACGAACGCUGGCGGCGUGCCUAACACAUGCAAGUCGUGCGAGAAAGUCCUUCGGGAGCGAGUAAAGCGGCGCACGGGUGAGUAACACGUAGGUAGCCUGCCCCCCAGUCUGGAACAACUAGAGGAAACUCUAGCUAAUGCCGGAUGAGACCACGAUCCCUUCGGGGGUUGCGGCCAAAGAUGGCCUCUACUUGUAAGCUAUCGCUGAGGGAUGGGCCUGCGGGCCAUUAGCUUGUUGGUGAGGUAACGGCUCACCAAGGCUGUGAUGGCUAGCUGGUCUGAGAGGAUGACCAGCCACACUGGGACUGAGACACGGCCCAGACUCCUACGGGAGGCAGCAGUGGGGAAUAUUGCGCAAUGGGGGAAACCCUGACGCAGCAACGCCGCGUGAGUGAGGAAGGACUUCGGUCUGUAAAGCUCUGUUAAUGUGGAAAAAUGGUUAGCGGUCUAAUAGGCCGUUGAUUUGAUGGUACACAUAGAGGAAGCACCGGCUAACUCCGUG
rnacentral:rRNA from 1 species